rnacentral:rRNA from 1 species
UACGGGGGGUGCGAGCGUUGUCCGGAAUCACUGGGCGUAAAGGGCGCGUAGGUGGUUUGAUAAGGGUGUGGUGAAAGUCCGGGGCUCAACCCCGGAUCUGCCGUGCCGACUGUCAAACUCGAGGGCUGUAGAGGCAGACGGAAUUCCGGGUGUAGCGGUGGAAUGCGUAGAGAUCGGGAGGAACACCUGUGGCGAAGGCGGCCGGCUGGGGGUGCCCUGACGCUGAGGCGCGAAAGCCAGGGGAGCAAACGGG